CCUACGGGUGGCUGCAGUGAGGAAUAUUGGUCAAUGGCCGAGAGCCUGAACCAGCCAAGUCGCGUGAGGGAAGACGGCCCUACGGAUUGUAAACCUCUUUUGUCGGGGAGCAAAGCGAGUCACGUGUGACCCAUUGAGAGUACCCGAAGAAAAAGCAUCGGCUAACUCCGUGCCAGCAGCCGCGGUAAUACGGAGGAUUCAAGCGUUAUCCGGAUUUAUUGGGUUUAAAGGGUGCGUAGGCGGUCGGAUAAGUUAGAGGUGAAAUCCCGAGGCUCAACUUCGGAAUUGCCUCUGAUACUGUUCGGCUAGAGAGUAGGUGAGGUAGGCGGAAUGUAUGGUGUAGCGGUGAAAUGCUUAGAGAUCAUACAGAACACCGAUUGCGAAGGCAGCUUACCAAGCUACUUCUGACGUUGAGGCACGAAAGCGUGGGGAGCAAACAGGAUUAGAUACCCUGGUAGUC
rnacentral:rRNA from 1 species